UUUGGUGGCUCGACGCGGUGGUCACACCCCUUCCCAUUCCGAACAGGGCAGUUAAGCACCGUAGUGCCGAUGAUACUCUUUACUGGGGAAAGUAGGUAGCCGCCAGAA
rnacentral:rRNA from 1 species